rfam:Heterocephalus glaber contig209915, whole genome shotgun sequence.
GGGGAUUUAGCUCAGCAGCACAGCACCUGCCUGGCAAGCACGAGGUCCUGAGUUCAAUCCCCA